AUGGCCGCCGGGUCCUGCUUCCGUGCGGUGCGGAGGGUUGAGGUGGAGGCCGGGUUCUGCUUCCUUACGGUUAUCCAUGUUCAGGUGAUAGUUAAGAAGAACAUAGUAUGUGAUGGUCCAAUGAGGAAGAAAUAUAAGUCGACAAUGCUGCUGAUGGGUGGCACUGAUAGUCCCAACACCUUUGCUCUUGGAUCAUUAUUCAAGCUUAUUUUUUCCUACAACAAGAAAGAGGAUGCUGAAGGAGGUAUUGCAACUAGAAAGACAAUAUAA
rnacentral:rRNA from 1 species